GAUGAACGCUGGCGGCGUGCCUAAUACAUGCAAGUCGAGCGAACGGACGAGAAGCUUGCUUCUCUGAUGUUAGCGGCGGACGGGUGAGUAACACGUGGAUAACCUACCUAUGAGACUGGGAUAACUUCGGGAAACCGGAGCUAAUACCGGAUGAUAUUUUGAACCGCAUGGUUCAAAAGUGAAAGACGGUCUUGCUGUCACUUAUAGAUGGAUCCGCGCUGCAUUAGCUAGUUGGUAAGGUAACGGCUUACCAAGGCAACGAUGCAUAGCCGACCUGAGAGGGUGAUCGGCCACACUGGAACUGAGACACGGUCCAGACUCCUACGGGAGGCAGCAGUAGGGAAUCUUCCGCAAUGGGCGAAAGCCUGACGGAGCAACGCCGCGUGAGUGAUGAAGGUCUUCGGAUCGUAAAACUCUGUUAUUAGGGAAGAACAUAUGUGUAAGUAACUGUGCACAUCUUGACGGUACCUAAUCAGAAAGCCACGGCUAACUACGUG
rnacentral:rRNA from 1 species